GCCGCCUUAGCUCAGCUGGUAGAGCAUCGCAUUCGUAAUGCGAGGGUCACAGGUUCGAGUCCUGUAGGCGGCACCA
rnacentral:tRNA from 2 species